CAGAAGGACAGGGAAUUGUGUGUGCUUCCUUUUUACCUCUCUCUUUUACUCUCAGCAGACCACUCAAAUGAUGAUGAGCUGCCAAGCUAUAAAUCGUUGAAGAUUCUCUGGCCAGGGAAGCUAUGAAAAAGGAGAGAACUGGUAGGGAGAAAAGAUAGGAGAGCAACACACAUCUUUGCUUCAGGGAUCCAAGGAGGACCACCACAUGAUGAUUUGAAGCUGAACACACCUAUGUCUUGGCUUAUGUCUACACAUCAAGGAAUCAGCUGAGCAGGAAGACUGCCUUGAAGAAACAGAAUCUGCUAUAAGAAUACUAUCAGGAAAGAAUGGUCAAGUCAGGUGAAACCGCUGCUAUUGUAUGACUGCUGAAAUAAUCGUGUACCUGGACUAUCUGCGGCUGCCUUUUCCAGCACCUUCCUGUGGACUGCUCCAGGGC
rnacentral:lncRNA from 1 species